UUCGGGCUGCGGGAGGAAAGUCCGGGCAGCAGAGAGUCACCAUACUUCCUAACGGGAAGGGACGCAGGCCGCAAGUCCUGCGCCACAGCCAGUGCCACAGAAAAAAAACCGCUACUAUGCCUUGUGUCCCCAUGGACUCCAGGCAUACAGUAAGGGUGAAAACGCGAGGUAAGAGCUCACGACGUGGGGUAGCGAUACCCCAUGAUGGUAAACCUUAUGGGCUGAAAAACCAAAUAUACCGACAGUUAAGGGUUGACUCGUCCGUUGUCGGGGGGUAGGUUGAUUGAGGCAGCCGGCGACGGCUGUCCUAGAUUAAUGAUAGAGGCUUGGCUCCUUUUGGCCAUCCACAGAACCCGGCUUACAGGUUGCC
rnacentral:RNase_P_RNA from 1 species